UACGAAGGGGGCGAGCGUUGUUCGGAUUUACUGGGCGUAAAGGGCGCGCAGGCGGUUCUGUUUGUCGAGUGUGAAAGCCCCGGGCUCAACCUGGGAACUGCGCUCGAAACGGCGGAACUAGAGUUCGGGAGAGGAGAGUGGAAUUCCCAGUGUAGAGGUGAAAUGCGCAGAUAUCAGGAGGAACACCGGUGGCGAAGGCGGGUCUCUGGGCCGAUACUGACGCUGAGGAGCGAAAGCGUGGGGAGCGAACAGG
rnacentral:rRNA from 1 species